rnacentral:rRNA from 1 species
AUCGCCAGGGAAUUACGAGCCCAAACUUAAAACCCAAAGGACUUGACGGUGCCCCACUCCCCCUAGAGGAGCCUGUGCUACAAUCGAUUAUGCCCGCUAAACCCGACUGCUUUUUGAUUAAUCAGCUUGUAUACUUCCGUCGUAAGCUCACCAUGUUGAAUUGAUAUUAUAGUGAGCCUAAAGGCUUUACCCCCCAAUACGUCAGGUCAAGGUGCAGCCCACAAAGCAGAUAGUAAUGGGCUACAGUUUCUACAAUAGAACCCACGAAAAGGCCGUAUGAAAUAUGGCCACGAAGGAGGAUUUAGAAGUAAAAAGAAAAUAAAUUGUUCUUUUUAACUAAGGUGCUGGGGCGCGUACAAACCGCCCGUCACCCUCUUCGACCAAACCUAAUUGAUUAAUAACCUAACAAUUUAACACAGAA